GAUGAACGCUAGCGGCAGGCCUAAUACAUGCAAGCCGAACGGCAAUCCCGACGGCAACGUCGGGACUAGAGUGGCGUAAGGGUGCGUAACACGUAUGGAAUCUACCCGCAACAGGAGGAUAGCUCUCCGAAAGGGGAAUUAAUCCUGCAUAGGAUUUAGGGGCGGCAUCGCCUUUAGAUUAAACUUUCUAAGGGUUGGUGGAUGAUCAUGCGCAUGAUU
rnacentral:rRNA from 1 species